AGCGAACGCUGGCGGCAGGCCUAACACAUGCAAGUCGAACGGACCCUUCGGGGUUAGUGGCGGACGGGUGAGUAACACGUGGGGACGUGCCUUUAGGUUCGGAAUAGCUCCUGGAAACGGGUGGUAAUGCCGAAUGUGCCCUUCGGGGGAAAGAUUUAUCGCCUUUAGAGCGGCCCGCGUCUGAUUAGCUAGUUGGUGGUGUAACGGACCACCAAGGCGACGAUCAGUAGCUGGUCUGAGAGGAUGAUCAGCCACAUUGGGACUGAGACACGGCCCAAACUCCUACGGGAGGCAGCAGUGGGGAAUCUUGCGCAAUGGGCGAAAGCCUGACGCAGCCAUGCCGCGUGAAUGAUGAAGGUCUUAGGAUUGUAAAAUUCUUUCACCGGGGACGAUAAUGACGGUACCCGGAGAAGAAGCCCCGGCUAACUUCGUGCCAGCCGCCGCAGUAAGAC
rnacentral:rRNA from 1 species